rnacentral:rRNA from 1 species
GGAGGAUCCGAGCGUUAUCCGGAUUUAUUGGGUUUAAAGGGAGCGUAGGUGGACUGGUAAGUCAGUUGUGAAAGUUUGCGGCUCAACCGUAAAAUUGCAGUUGAUACUGUCAGUCUUGAGUACAGUAGAGGUGGGCGGAAUUCGUGGUGUAGCGGUGAAAUGCUUAGAUAUCACGAAGAACUCCGAUUGCGAAGGCAGCUCACUGGACUGCAACUGACACUGAUGCUCGAAAGUGUGGGUAUCAAACAGGAUUAGAUACCCUGGUAGUCCACGCAGUAAACGAUGAUCACUAGCUGUUUGCGAUACAGUGUAAGCGGCACAGCGAAAGCGUUAAGUGAUCCACCUGGGGAGUACGCCGGCAACGGUGAAACUCAAAGGAAUUGACG